rnacentral:lncRNA from 1 species
AUGGAUGUGAAACAAACCAAGCCCAGAGAACUGGUGGUCAGCUGUGCCGCUACGGGGAAACCAGCGCCAAACAUCAGCUGGGACACCGCCGGGAUCGGUAACGCCACAGAAACCCCCAGUCUCCGGGUAGAGAACACUGACAACACGGUCACCGUCAGCAGUGAGCUUACCCUGGUGCUGCCCGCCUCGGCGGACUCGGUGGGCUGUCUGGUCGACGGUGGCUCCAGCGGGCCGAGGCGGGAGCAGAUCUUACUCCCCCUUUUAAACAGAGGAGGAGACAAGGAGGUGGAGAAUGGAAGUCAAAGAUCUGCUGGCACGAUACCUGGCAUCAUAUUAUCUUUAUGCAGCAUGAUUGCUAUCGCCAUUGUGGCUCUAAUGGUCUGGAAAGGAAAGAAGAGGAUACCUUUCAAACAACAGAUUAUGUCUUCAUCUAUGUUAAACUUGUGUUUAUGUGGAAAGAAGUCGGCCGGUCAUAUGAAAGAAGAAAUGGAAUUGAAAGGAGGGACAGAAAUAGUGUAA